rnacentral:rRNA from 1 species
CUAAUACAUGCAAGUCGAGCGAACGGACGAGAAGCUUGCUUCUCUGAUGUUAGCGGCGGACGGGUGAGUAACACGUGGAUAACCUACCUAUAAGACUGGGAUAACUUCGGGAAACCGGAGCUAAUACCGGAUAAUAUUUUGAACCGCAUGGUUCAAAAGUGAAAGACGGUCUUGCUGUCACUUAUAGAUGGAUCCGCGCUGCAUUAGCUAGUUGGUAAGGUAACGGCUUACCAAGGCAACGAUGCAUAGCCGACCUGAGAGGGUGAUCGGCCACACUGGAACUGAGACACGGUCCAGACUCCUACGGGAGGCAGCAGUAGGGAAUCUUCCGCAAUGGGCGAAAGCCUGACGGAGCAACGCCGCGUGAGUGAUGAAGGUCUUCGGAUCGUAAAACUCUGUUAUUAGGGAAGAACAUAUGUGUAAGUAACUGUGCACAUCUUGACGGUACCUAAUCAGAAAGCCACGGCUAACUACGUGCCAGCAGCCGCGGUAAUACGUAGGUGGCAAGCGUUAUCCGGAAUUAUUGGGCGUAAAGCGCGCGUAGGCGGUUUUUUAAGUCUGAUGUGAAAGCCCACGGCUCAACCGUGGAGGGUCAUUGGAAACUGGAAAACUUGAGUGCAGAAGAGGAAAGUGGAAUUCCAUGUGUAGCGGUGAAAUGCGCAGAGAUAUGGAGGAACACCAGUGGCGAAGGCGACUUUCUGGUCUGUAACUGACGCUGAUGUGCGAAAGCGUGGGGAUCAAACAGGAUUAGAUACCCUGGUAGUCCACGCCGUAAACGAUGAGUGCUAAGUGUUAGGGGGUUUCCGCCCCUUAGUGCUGCAGCUAACGCAUUAAGCACUCCGCCUGGGGAGUACGACCGCAAGGUUGAAACUCAAAGGAAUUGACGGGGACCCGCACAAGCGGUGGAGCAUGUGGUUUAAUUCGAAGCAACGCGAAGAACCUUACCAAAUCUUGACAUCCUUUGACAACUCUAGAGAUAGAGCCUUCCCCUUCGGGGGACAAAGUGACAGGUGGUGCAUGGUUGUCGUCAGCUCGUGUCGUGAGAUGUUGGGUUAAGUCCCGCAACGAGCGCAACCCUUAAGCUUAGUUGCCAUCAUUAAGUUGGGCACUCUAAGUUGACUGCCGGUGACAAACCGGAGGAAGGUGGGGAUGACGUCAAAUCAUCAUGCCCCUUAUGAUUUGGGCUACACACGUGCUACAAUGGACAAUACAAAGGGCAGCGAAACCGCGAGGUCAAGCAAAUCCCAUAAAGUUGUUCUCAGUUCGGAUUGUAGUCUGCAACUCGACUACAUGAAGCUGGAAUCGCUAGUAAUCGUAGAUCAGCAUGCUACGGUGAAUACGUUCCCGGGUCUUGUACACACCGCCCGUCACACCACGAGAGUUUGUAACACCCGAAGCCGGUGGAGUAACCUUUUAGGAGCUAGCCGUCGAAGGUGGGACAAAUGAUUGGGGUGAAGUCGUAACAAGGUAGCCGUAUCGGAAGGUGCGGCUGGAUCACCUCCUUUCUAA